UAGAAUUGGCUGCCUUUUCGGUGCCGAUUUCACCCUGUGCAUACGAAACUUCAGUUGCUUUGGCGCCCCUCGCGGGGCGCCGGAGGACCUAAACCCUAGAAUCUUUGCCGUCUGAGUACUAUAUAAUAGUUA
rnacentral:misc_RNA from 1 species